rnacentral:lncRNA from 1 species
UAACGGUUAUAAACCAGCAGUAGGAGUGAAAACAUAAUAACUGACAUAUAUUCUUCACUUGGCACCAUCAUUUUCAAAAGACGAUAAUGUGUUUAAGCUGGCUUUAUAAAACAAAACUGACUAAAAAUAAAUCUAACAUAGACGUCAACAAAAAUGCUUGUUAAUGGUAAAUCUAACAAGGAAACCACGUAUGUUGACAACUCCAGAUAAUUAGCCAACUAUUAAUUUUUACUUAAAGCAGACAACCCUCCAUUUUUAACAAUCAAUCAUAUUUGUCGGAAAUAUCUAAGUGCCCUCUUUUAUAAUAUAUACACAGG